rnacentral:rRNA from 1 species
ACGUAUGGUGCAAGCGUUAUCCGGAUUUACUGGGUGUAAAGGGAGCGCAGGCGGAAGGCUAAGUCUGAUGUGAAAGCUCGGGGCUCAACCCCGGUACUGCAUUGGAAACUGGUCAUCUAGAGUGUCGGAGGGGUAAGUGGAAUUCCUAGUGUAGCGGUGAAAUGCGUAGAUAUUAGGAGGAACACCAGUGGCGAAGGCGGCUUACUGGACGAUAACUGACGCUGAGGCUCGAAAGCGUGGGGAGCAAACAG